rnacentral:tRNA from 1 species
AGCCCAGUGGUGUAGCGGCCAAUCAUCCGAGGCUCUGACCCUUGGGACCCAGGUUCGAAUCCUGGCUGGGCUA